rnacentral:tRNA from 1 species
GUUGUGGCUCAGUGGUAGAGCGCUUGCCUAACGUACAUGAGGCACUGGGUUCGAUCCCCAGCACUACA